UACGUAGGGGGGCGAGCGUUGUCCGGAGUACUGGGCGUAAAGCGCACGCAGGCGUCUGCUAAGUUUGGAGUGACAGUUUGGUGGCUUUAACUGCCAAAGUGCUUUCGAAAAACUGACAGACUUGAGGGGCUUCAGAGGGACACGGAAUUCCGGGUGGAGUGGUGAAAUGCGUAGAGAUCCGGAAGAACACCAGUGGCGAAGGCGGCCCCGCUGGGCAGUGGCUGACGCUGAGGCGCGAAAGCGUGGGGGGAGCAAAACGGG
rnacentral:rRNA from 1 species